GCCCCCAUCGACUAGCGGCCUAGGUCGCCACCCUUUCAAGGUGGUAGCGCGGGUUCGAAUCCCGCUGGGGGCACCA
rnacentral:tRNA from 1 species